rnacentral:rRNA from 1 species
AUGGCUGUCGUCUAGCUCGUGUCGUGAGAUGUUCGGUUAAGUCGCUAACGAGCGCAACCCUCGUCGUAUGUUAUAUGUGUCAUACGAGACUGCCGGUAAAAGCCGGAGGAAGGUGAGGAUGAUGUCAAAGUCAGCAUGACCUUUAUAUCCAGGGCUACACACACGCUACAAUGGUCUGUACAAUGGGUAGCCAAGCCGCGAGGCGGAGCCAAUCCUGAAAGCAGGCCUCAGUUCAGAUUGCAGUCUGCAACUCGACUGCAUGAAGCCGGAGUUGCUAGUAACCGCAGGUCAGCAAUACUGCGGUGAAUACGUUCCCGGGUCUU